rnacentral:rRNA from 1 species
UAAGGAAUAUUGGGCAAUGGAGGCAACUCUGACCCAGCCAUCCCGCGUGAAGGAUGACGGCCCUAUGGGUUGUAAACUUCUUUUGUUUGGGAAGAAAUCAGGACAUUCAUGUGCUGUUGACGGUACCUUACGAAUAAGCACCGGCUAACUCCGUGCCAGCAGCCGCGGUAAUACGGAGGGUGCAAGCGUUAUCCGGAAUCACUGGGUUUAAAGGGUGCGUAGGCGGCUAAAUAAGUCAGAGGUGAAAGCUGGCAGCUCAACUGUCAAACUGCCUUUGAUACUGUUUGGCUUGAAUCAGGUUAAGGUAGGCAGAAUGUGGCAUGUAGCGGUGAAAUGCAUAGAUAUGCCAUAGAAUACCAAUUGCGAAGGCAGCUUGCUGGGCCUGAAUUGACGCUGAGGC